rnacentral:rRNA from 1 species
AUUGAACGCUGGCGGAAUGCUUUACACAUGCAAGUCGAACGGCAGCACGGGGGCAACCCUGGUGGCGAGUGGCGAACGGGUGAGUAAUACAUCGGAACGUGCCCAGUCGUGGGGGAUAACUACGCGAAAGCGUAGCUGAUACCGCAUACGAACUCUGGUUGAAAGCGGGGGAUCGCAAGACCUCGCGCGAUUGGAGCGGCCGAUGGCAGAUUAGGUAGUUGGUGGGGUAAAGGCUCACCAAGCCGACGAUCUGUAGCUGGUCUGAGAGGACGACCAGCCACACUGGGACUGAGAGACGGCCCAGACUCCUACGGGAGGCAGCAGUGGGGAAUGUUGGACAAUGGGCGCAAGCCUGAUCCAGCCAUUCCGCGUGCAGGAUGAAGGCCCUCGGGUUGUAAACUGCUUUUGUACGGAACGAAACGGCCUUUUCUAAUACAAGAGGCUAAUGACGGUACCGUAAGAAUAAGCACCGGCUAACUACGUGCCAGCCGCCGCCGUAACAC